rnacentral:tRNA from 2 species
AGCGGAGUAGAGCAGCGGCCAGCUCGCUUGCUUCAUACGCAAGAAGUCGCGGGUUCAAAUCCCGCCUCCGCAACCA